GGGGAUCUUUUUGACGAAUGUUCGAUCAAGUGACAACUGAUCACAAUGAACAAAAAACUCGAAAUAAAAUUGAUAAAUUGAUUCAAAGAAAUGGAAGCUUUAUAAGCCAUCAAUAGGCAGAAAAUAAAGGCAUUAUGACAAGCGUUGGUUCCUCAAAGUUUUUGGGAAAAUCAUACAUAAAAUAAGCCCUGAAGUAUGAAUGAAUAUAACCCAAAAUAUAGGUAUCAACGCCUGCAACCUUGAUGCUGAUGCUUGAAAAGUCGUCUUGGAUAUUUUGCAUAGAACACUUCGCAAUAAAUAAUUAAGCUAUUCAUGUGGUAGAAACGGUCCCAAUGGGUGAUGAUUAAGGUUUCUACGUAUUCAAACAUCCAAGGAUUUGGAGCUCCUCUCUCUCUCUCUCUCUCUCUCUCUCUCUCUC
rnacentral:lncRNA from 1 species